GAGGCUACAGUUCAGUGGUCAACCACCUGCUUUGCAUGCAGGAGGUCCUCGGUUCAAUCCCUGGUAUCUUCA